rnacentral:rRNA from 1 species
UACUUGGAUAACUGUGGUAAUUCUAGAGCUAAUACAUGCACCAAAGCUCCGAUCCUCGCGGAGAGGAGCGCAUUUGUUCGCCACAAAACCAAGCGCCCAUCUGGGCGUCCAGUGCUGAACCAGAACAACUCAGCUGAUCGCACGGUCUUGUACCGGCGACGUGUCUUUCAAGUGUCUGCCUUAUCAACUUUCGAUGGUAGUGUACCUGACUACCAUGGUUGUGACGGGUAACGGAGGAUAAGGGUUCGACUCCGGAGAAGGGGCCUGAGAAAUGGCCACUACGUCUAAGGAUGGCAGCAGGCGCGCAAAUUACCCACUCUCAACGCGAGGAGGUACUGACGAGAAAUAACGAGACCGUUCUCAUACGAGGCCGGUUAUUGGAAUGGGUACAAUUUAAA